rnacentral:rRNA from 1 species
UACGUAGGGUGCAAGCGUUGUCCGGAAUUAUUGGGCGUAAAGAGCGCGUAGGCGGUCCGGUAAGUCGGCUGUGAAAGUCAAGGGCUCAACCCUUGAAAGCCGGCCGAUACUGUCGGACUAGAGUCCGGAAGAGGCGAGUGGAAUUCCCGGUGUAGCGGUGAAAUGCGUAGAUAUCGUAAGGAAGACCAGUGGCGAAGGCGGGUCUCUGGACAGUUCCUGACGCUGAGGCACGAAGGUCAGGGGAGCAAACGGG